UACGUAGGGGGCAAGCGUUGUCCGGAUUUAUUGGGCGUAAAGAGCUUGUAGGCGGCUGGGUAGGUCCGUUGUGAAAACUCGAGGCUCAACCUCGAGACGCCGAUGGAAACCCCCCAGCUAGAGUCCGGAAGAGGAGAGUGGAAUUCCUGGUGUAGCGGUGAAAUGCGCAGAUAUCAGGAGGAACACCAAUUGCGAAGGCAGCUCGCUGGGACGUCACUGACGCUGAGACGCGAAAGCGUGGGGAGCAAAUAGG
rnacentral:rRNA from 1 species